rnacentral:lncRNA from 10 species
CUCCGGGUCAGCAAGAAUUCCAUCCCAACGCAGACUUUCGUUGAUCCGAUUCGCAAGGUUCUCUAUUUCGGCAAAGUCGGGGAGGCUGACGGUGGAGGAGUCAGAAGGGAGGUGCUUCUUUUCCACUUUGCUCUGUCUGUGCUCUGGUUUCGGGCCACGCUCUUUGCAAGGACUUAAGAUGUCAUGAAAGGAGGAAGAAAGCGGCUGGCUCUUCAGGCUCUGACUCUGAUGUUUAUCUGCUGAGUAGAUGAGCAGUCUCUGUCUCCUCACUGACCCAUCCCUUCUCAGCCCACUACAGUUGUAGUUCUGGCACCAUCGUGCCAUCAAAGCCGCUUUACAACGUCACCACUGUCCUUCCAAGCCAUCGAACGUCACCACUGUCCUUCCAAGCCAUCGAACGUCACCACUGUCCU